rnacentral:sRNA from 1 species
CAUGGAUCGUCCUGGCUGUCGAUGCUGCUAUCUAUUAGGCAGUGGAUAUGAUGCCUGUCGCCAUAUUGAGUGUGCGAUAGCCGGCCAUUGUCUUGCGCUCUUUCUCUCAUAAUUUGUGGCUAUUUUCUUUUGUUUUCCUCUCCUCUUCUGGGUAACAAUGCAGCUGUUCAAGCGUCAUGGCUACAGUCCUCGACUGCUCCGGGCUUCCGCCACAGGUGUGCGAACUCCAAGACCCACACAAGCCUCGAUUUCCCGGACUAUAUUAUGCAGUCAAUGGCCAUCUUCUACCCGGAUCACAUACGGACCUCCAUAUUACCGACUUCCUACUAUCCGCCAUUAUGCCAACGGGAGGCCACACCCGCCGGGCGGAACACACCGUAUGAAUUUGGGUGGCGAACCGGAAAAGCCGGCUUUGGAGGCAUAUGGAGUCGAUCUUACUGCUAGAGCAAAGGAUGGGAAGCUGGACCCAGUCAUUGGUAGAGAUGGGGAAAUCCAACGAACAAUACAAAUCCUUUCAAGGAGAACGAAGAAUAACCCUGUCCUAAUUGGUUCUGCCGGUACCGGCAAGACAGCUAUCCUCGAAGGCCUUGCGCAGAGGAUUGUCAGAGGCGACGUGCCAGAAAGCGUUAAGGAUAAGCGUGUGAUUGCUCUGGAUUUAGGCCAACUUAUUGCAGGCGCAAAAUUCAGAGGUGAUUUUGAAGAGCGAUUGAAAAAAGUUCUGAAGGAGGUGGAGGAUGCUCAAGGCGGAGUUAUCCUUUUCGUGGAUGAGCUGCACACACUACUCGGGCUUGGAAAGGCUGAGGGAAGCAUUGAUGCAAGCAAUCUUCUAAAGCCGGCUUUAUCGCGAGGUGAGCUGCAAUGCUGCGGUGCUACGACAUUGAACGAGUAUCGGCAGAUCGAAAAAGAUGUUGCUUUAGCGCGACGGUUCCAGCCGAUUCUCGUUGAAGAGCCAUCAGUACCCGACACGAUAUCGAUAUUGAGAGGUAUUAAAGAAAAGUAUGAAGUUCACCAUGGAGUAAGAAUCACAGAUGGCGCCCUUGUGGCUGCGGCCACAUACAGCAACAGAUAUAUAACGGAUCGCUAUCUACCGGACAAGGCAAUUGAUCUUGUGGACGAGGCCGCUUCUGCCCUUCGAUUACAACAGGAGUCAAAACCCGAUGCUAUUCAAGAACUCGACAGGCAAAUUAUGACAAUUCAAAUCGAACUUGAAUCUCUUCGCAAGGAAACCGAUAUUACCAGCAAAGAACGUCGGGAGAAAUUAGAGGAACUUCUGAAAACAAAGCAAAACAAAGUUAAGGAGCUUACUGCUGUUUGGGAAAAGGAAAAAGCAGAGCUUGAUACCAUCAAACAGGCUAAAGAAGAUUUGGAACGCGCGAGAGUUGAAUUGGAGCUCGCUCAACGCCAAGGUAACUUCGCCAAGGCUAGCGAACUUCGAUACUCUAUAAUUCCAGGACUUGAGAGCAAACUCCCCAAGGAGGGGCCUGAAACGGCAACAACCACUACUGCAGAUGGCGAGGUUCUUCUUCAUGAUUCUGUGACAAGCGAUGAUAUCGCUGCCGUGGUAUCCCGUACCACGGGCAUUCCGGUGAAUAAGCUAAUGGCUGGCGAGAUCGAGAAACUCAUCAAUAUGGAAGACACCUUGAGGCAAUCGGUGCGUGGACAAGACGAAGCACUUUCUGCCGUCGCCAAUGCCGUCCGCAUGCAAAGGGCAGGGCUGAGUGGAGAAAAUAAACCACUGGCAUCGUUCAUGUUUUUGGGCCCGACAGGAGUCGGCAAAACGGAGCUCUGCAAGAAGAUGGCGGGUUUCCUGUUUUCGACCGAAACGGCAGUUUUACGUUUUGAUAUGAGCGAAUUCCAAGAGAAACACACUGUUAGCCGCCUCAUUGGCUCUCCUGCUGGAUAUGUUGGGUACGAAGAUGCUGGUCAAUUAACUGAAGCUGUCCGAAGGAAGCCUUACGCUGUAUUGCUCUUCGACGAGUUUGAAAAAGCCCAUCGUGAUAUAUCAGCACUUCUCCUUCAGGUCCUAGACGAAGGCUUCCUCACUGAUGCCCAGGGCCAUAAGAUCGACUUCCGGAAUACUUUGAUUGUUUUGACCUCCAAUCUCGGUGCGGAGAUGCUUGUUGCAGCAGACUCUUCCGUUGGGGAGGAGAUCUCAUCUGAUAUAAAGGCGGCUGUGAUGUCCAUUGUCCAGUCAUCGUACCCUCCCGAAUUUUUGAAUAGGAUCGACGAGUUCAUCAUUUUUAAGCGACUUUCGAAGCCUGCGCUUAGGGAUAUCGUAGACAUCAGGUUACAGGAGCUUCAACAGAGGCUGGACGAUCGAAGAAUAACCCUGACGGUGGAGGAUAACGUUAAAGAUUGGCUUUGCGACAAAGGCUACGACCCUCGAUAUGGAGCUCGCCCAUUAAAUAGACUCAUUUCAAAAGAAAUCGGCAACCGUCUGGCGGAUAAAAUAAUCAGGGGUGAGGUUGUCACUGGUCAGGGGGUGAGUGUCAUUUUCAAUGCUGACAAGUCUGGACUUGACAUCGUAUCUACAAAAGCGACGUAAUGGUUUGUGCAUUGCAUGUAUUAAUGUUUCCGUCUUGUCUCCGUUUAACUACUCGUUACCAUUAGGAUAUUGAAAGCAGCCCGCUUUUGGCGUAAAGUGGCAUUUUGGUGAGCAUUCUCUUUGUAUCAUAUAACUUGUAUGUACCAUCACCUAUCUUCCAAAAUACUGCACCUAAACCCCACUCAAUAAUUUCGG